AACCGCCAAGUACCGAACGGUAUGCUUGGUGGUGUGAGAGGACGGUAAUUAAAAUAAUUAAUUACCUCCUACUCGAU
rnacentral:misc_RNA from 1 species